rnacentral:snRNA from 1 species
AGCCAUGUGAUGAACACAAAGCGAACUAUUCUUUCGCCUUUUACUAAAGAAUACCGUGUGUUCGUUACAAUCAAUGGCAUACUCUAAUUUUUGAAGGGUGUUUAACAUUAAACACCC